CUCAUCACACGCACAUGGCCCGCCCUGAUCUUUGGAGCCAUGGUCCCCAGGCUCCCUGGUGGGCCCGUCCUUAAAGCAUCAGAACUGGCUUUGCAGUACACUUUGUUGAACAAAUUAACUUUUUAAAAAAAAUCUUAAGUAAAAAUCUUGGGAUUUUUUUUUUUUGGUUCCAAAUUAUUUUAUGAUCUUUCUGAAGGAAAUAUUGUGAACAUUUUAGACAAUUUCCCCUUUCCAAAAGUAUUAAUGAACAAGUAACACUAACUCUGAAAGCCAGCUGAAGAUCUAUUUACAAAUCUGAGGUGAUGGCCUUUCCUACAGAGACCAGCCACAGGCCUAGGGCUGACUGGAAUGUAAGGUGUUCUGAAUCUGACAAGAACUGCUACUUUGUGAACAUCUGCUCCAGUUUCUUUUUCCUUAAUGUGACAUAAACAAAUGAAAGCUGCCCAUGUCCCAUACUCCUCAGGAGCCUUUGGCAUCCAAAACCAGACAGGGUGUUCCCUAGUCAGCACACACCUGUGGGGGAACUGUAGCAGUUAAAACCUUGGCACUUGUAGGGUGGUCCAUCUGGCAAGAGUGAUGAGGACCCAGGUGCUAUAAGGAACAUCCUGGCACUUGAAUGUGAGGAUUCCUAGGGUCUCAGGCAGGCACGCCCAGGUUGGCAUUUCUGAUGACUUCCAAGUGACCCCUGUAGCAUGAUGUGUGAAGUGCCCAUCUUCCACAGAGUUAAAGAUAAAAAUGUUUUGAUUAAAAUUAACACAAACACCUGUCAAUUGCCAAAUAUUUUCAUCUACAUGGAGUGUAGCUGAUGACUGUUAGCAGAAUAAAAUGCUGUGUCCAUGUGUAUCAUGGUGUCACCAUCCUGUUGAGACGUGAAAUGCCCUAUCAGAAAUUAAAUUUAAAUUUAAAUGUGCCUAUUGGUGUCUAAACUUGAUACAAUAUAAAGUCAGGUUCCUUUUAGGAAUGCUGGGUGCUGUCACUAGGUCUGAUAGUGAAGGCUUAAAAACUUGAAGUUUGGGGGGAGGGGGGAGGUAAUACUGAAAUAUAGAUGAGAAUUAUCAGUUGGGGGGAAAAUAGCAUUUAAAGUGGCAAGUUGUGUUUGGAAAACUGUAAUGAGUAUUUUUUUAUUAAAAAACUUUAAAGGCCUUUUUCUUACACUU
rnacentral:lncRNA from 1 species